rnacentral:rRNA from 1 species
UACGUAGGGAGCAAGCGUUGUCCGGAAUCAUUGGGCGUAAAGCGCGCGUAGGCGGCCUCAUAAGUCCGUUGUGAAAGUCAAAGGCUCAACCUUUGAAAGCCGAUGGAUACUGUGAGGCUAGAGUCCGGAAGAGGCGAGUGGAAUUCCUGGUGUAGCGGUGGAAUGCGCAGAGAUCCGGAGGAACACCAGUGGCGAAGGCGGCUCGCUGGGCUCUACCUGACGCUGAGGCGCGAAAGCGUGGGGAGCGAACCGG